UGGAUUGAGGCCUCUAAAAUCUUAAGUCACUGAUUUUCCUUAAUCCCCUGAGCCUGCAGAAGUGGACUAAACUCAGCCGAUUCANNNNNNNNNNUGCAGUGGCGUGAUCUCGGCUCACUUGGUUGCUUCUAAACCUUUGCCCAAGCUGUUUACUGCCAGGACUUCCUGUCCCUUUGUUGUGGCUUCCACCUGGCUGCACUGACUCGGGGCUC
rnacentral:lncRNA from 1 species